UACGAAGGUGGCAAGCGUUGUUCGGAUUUACUGGGCGUACAGGGAGCGUAGGCGGUUGGAUAAGCCCUCCGUGAAAUCUCCAGGCUUAACCUGGAAAGUGCAGAGGGGACUGUUCAGCUAGAGGAUGGGAGAGGAGCGCGGAAUUCCCGGUGUAGCGGUGAAAUGCGUAGAUAUUGGGAGGAACACCAGUGGCGAAGGCGGCUCUCUGGACCGGUACUGACGCUAAAGCGCGAAAGCUAGGGGAGCAAACGGG
rnacentral:rRNA from 1 species